CGUAGCUUGGCGUCCUUGUAACAAUCAUCUCCUGGAAUUGGAAUACUCUUGUAUUAUUAUUAGGUUUGAUGGUUAAGGUGUUAUUCCUCUCUGUUAGUUGUGUUUGUUCAGACACUUGAAAGAAACAAUGUAGAAUGCUGUUGAAGGUAUUUCCUGCUCACUGUGUUUACAAUCACCUUUAGUGCCCCUCGACCCCCACCACUUUUAGGGCCCCCCUCCACAGGACAUGUUUAACAUCAAAAGAGGAACUGUUAUCUCAAGUAUCUGUGUUCCUGCCAUCACACCAAAUGGUAGGUAGUGGUGGUCUGGUCUCACCUCACCGCUCCCAACUUCUUCCAGCCACACCGGGAGCCCGAAUCGAUUCGUAAACUGCAGAAAAUUAAAGUAAACCCUUAGAAGGAACUGUU